rnacentral:lncRNA from 1 species
GCGGAGUUCCCGAUCAAACAUUGCUGCAUUUAUUUCCGAGAAGGACCAAGUAACUGCUGAAAUGAAGGAGUCUGCUUCUCAGAAGAGUUCAGUGUCGAACAUGGCUGCAUGUUUUAUAUCCGACAAGGAUCAAGUAACUGCUGAAAUGAAGGAGUCUGCUUCUCAGAAGAGUUCAGUGUCGAACAUGGCUGCAUGUUUUAUUUCCGAGAAGGACCAAGUAACUGCUGAAAUGAAGGAGCCUGCUUCUCAGAAGAGUUCAGUGUUGAACAUGGCUGCAUGUUUUAUAUCCGACAAGGAUCAAGUAACUGCUGAAAUGAAGGAGUCUGCUUCUCAGAAGAGUUCAGUGUCGAACAUGACUGCACUUUCUGCUGCUGAUGAGAACCAAAUAACAAAGGAGGCCACUGCCUAUGAGAGUAGUUUGGAUUCUGCUUCUCAGAAGAGUUCAUUGUCAAAUAUUGUUAUCCCAGCCAGACCUUCAGUGUGUGAUGAGACUUCUGCAGCAGAGAUACAAACUGUCUGUGAAUCAAAGGAGGUGGCUACGUUUCAGGAGAACCAAGUGCCAGAAGUCGCAGCUCCAGAUAUGUCUGUUCUUGACAUUAAAGUCUCUGCAACAGAUAUGGCCGCCACCACUCUGACUGAACCCCCUGCAGCUGUUGACACGUCAACCUCUGAUGGGACCCCUGAAACACAGACACCCCUGCAAUCCCAGGAGAAUGUGAUCUCAGGCCUUACUGUUCCGGACGUGCUGGAGACAAAUACAAAGGUACCCUCCCCUUGCCACGAGUUUGCACCUGCUUUGGCUGAAGGUAAAACCAGCGUGAGCUUUGUGAGCUCAUCUGCUGGGGCUAUAAAGGAAGCCAAGGCUCCAGUGCUUGUAGAUGUCCCCAGUUCAGCUAGAGUGGAGAUGGAGCUGUUUGGGCCAGAAGCAGUCCAGAUCACACAGGCGAACAGCGUUUCAUCACUGGAAGUUCGCGCACCCUAUUUGGUGUAUCUUCCUCUUCAACCAGUGGAGGUGCUGAUGUCUGGCAUGAUUCCCCAGGCCUGUGCCGAAGGCGAGGAAGUCAAAGCUUCCUCAUAUGUCUGCAUCCCUGUGGCCACCGGGGAGUUGUCUCACAAUCCCAGCUUUGUAGCAGCUAUGACCCCUCAGUUGUCGAGAACAGGAAGCUUUGCUGGCAUAUUUAAUACAUUCCCUGAGACCCAGAAGACCCAGAAUUCCACAGAGCCUUCUAGGCCUGCCUCGCAGGGGCACAUGGGCUUUUCUAAGGCGCGGCGUCCCUGCACUCAAUCCCCGGCUGGAGUUUCCAUGACAGGAGAAGGAACUGGACUUGCAGCUCACACCUCUGCAUCUUUAAAGCAGCAAGCAGCGGCAGCCGUCACAAAUAAUGGACAACUGCCUAACAUCACCUGUUGCAGUUAUGGGAAAUUGCCGAGUAGGCCUUCUGAGCCAGUGGUAGCCAGUGCCUGUCCAUGUGUAGGGCCAGCCGGCCACUGGAGGCUGUGUCACCUGACUCAUCCCGGUGCUCAGAGCGGGGUUCAACCUCCCUGCCACUACCAGGCCUCAGCUUACACGUCGCAAUGUGGCCUGGAGCAGAAAGCCAAGAUCCCCAUGUACCUGGACUGUGGCUUGUACUGUAGCUGCCACCACAUGCCUUCCGCCAGGUCAUCCGGGAGUAGCAUGCGCCCUCACCACAUGCCAGAGACCACAUGCUCUGGCCACAACCUGGGCCCCCUCAUCUCCCAUCAGUGCUGCUCAUCCAAGCACGUCUGCGGCCAACACGUGCUGCCCGACACUGACCGCAGGUGCCCCCACUUCUGGCAGGCCAUGUCCAUACCGCUGCGGCCACACCACAGCUCGUCCGCGAUGUGCGACCACCAGGAGGGGCAGAGUUGCGGCGGGGCCAACAGGAGCGCCUGUGGGCUGACCAGUGCCACCACCAUGCCUAGCUGUUCACAUCAGAGUGCCGCCACCAUGCCUAGCUGUUCACAUCAGAGUGCCACCACCAUGCCCAGCUGUUCACAUCAGUGUGCAGCCACAGAGGCCUGCCAUGUGACGGACUACGGGGCCAAUUUCAACCUCUAGGCACUUUAGGACCAACUCCCAGCAAUUGAUGGUACAUGCGUUUUUGAAUGUCUUAUGAUUACAAGAUUUGUUUAUGUGACUGCUGAUGUAUUGUCUUUCGUUGUCAUCAUUAAUGUGUUCUAUGCCUUACCUCCAGGUCUACUUGGAAGCUGUCACAUUCUUGGACAUUUUUUUUUUUAAUUUUGAAAGCAACUUUGCAAAAUAAAAAAAUCAGCAUUAAGAUGUCUGUUUCUUGA